rnacentral:rRNA from 1 species
UACGUAGGGUGCGAGCGUUAAUCGGAAUUACUGGGCGUAAAGCGUGCGCAGGCGGUGCUGUGAGUCAGCUGUGAAAUCCCCGGGCUCAACCUGGGAACUGCAUUUGUGACUGCAUCGCUGGAGUGCGGCAGAGGGGGAUGGAAUUCCGCGUGUAGCAGUGAAAUGCGUAGAUAUGCGGAGGAACACCGAUGGCGAAGGCAAUCCCCUGGGCCUGCACUGACGCUCAUGCACGAAAGCGUGGGGAGCAAACAGG